GCUCCUUUGCGCCAUACUGAUAGAGGUAUGUGUGAGAGUGCAUAGAGGAAUACAACCUAAUUAAUAGUUGUACAAAAAUCACAAAUAUGUCCAAUUAGUCUAUACCUAAUUAAUGUUCAGCUAUCAGGUCAGGAUCCCCUUGGCAACAGUUGUUUGAUUAUGACUGGUAUUUCUUCUGCGAAGACCAAAGAUUCAAAGGAGAACAGGCUUGUGCAGAAUAAAUAAAAACUACUUAAAUACCCACAAACCUAAACUUCUUGAAGAAUCCAAGAAAAUUAAGGAAAAGCUUGAAUAUGAAAGACUUGGCCUAUCCAAUCAGAAAACUAAAACCCUUAUCUUACCGUCUUUGAAGGGAAAAAAUAUUGAACACAAUGAUAAUUAAACACAAACAAAUAGAGUUUUUGAGAAGCCUUAGAUAAAUCAAAGGACAAUAUAAAUCAGAAAUUUUUAAAAAUAGAUAAAGCAAAAAGGAAAGAUAUACAGUGAAAAAAGGGAAUAUCCCCAAAAUAAGAGUUCAUACCAGUGAAUAAAUAAAGGAGUUGCUGACUAAUAAAAUAAAAGAGCUUCAGAAGAAGCAACCACGGUUGGAGAAUGAAACAGCGUUGGGUGUUUAGAAAAUAGAAAAGAUGAAGAUUUUGUUAGUAGAAAAACAAUAGUUGGAGAAGAAGCCCAGUAGGAAAAGUUUGUUGAAUUUCAGGCUUAACAAUGGGAAAAAGCCAAAGAAAUUAGGUUUAAACUCCAAUUUAACAGCUCAAAAUUAGGUAAAACAUAUAGAUUUGCUAAGUAAAAAAUUAGGUAAAGCAUAUAAAAAGAAGAAUACAGAGAAACACCCAUAAAUCGCAGCAAUUUUAAACCUUUUUCCGAAUAAAUAACCAGUACAACAAAAUAUAAAACAAAGACAAAGAACAACAAACUAACCAACUCAGCUGUGGAAACAAAGUGGAUGUACACAUGGGAGAGCAGAGCAGAUUAAUCACUUUAAGAUACAAAGAAAUCUGAAAAAAGCAGAGAAAGAAGAAACCCCAAUAUUAAGCGGUGGCC
rnacentral:lncRNA from 1 species